rnacentral:rRNA from 1 species
AUGAAUCACGAAGACGGCACUGAUCCUUGGGUUUCUCAAAGGCCAGAAACACCCCCUUGGGAUGCAACAGAGUACAGUCAACUCAUUUCGGCAGGGCCGUUGCUGCCACUACUAGAGCAGUACGCAGGCAUCGGACCUUCAUGCAGCACGUGCCAUCAGGCGGCAACCAUGUACCUGCCAUCAACGUCAUACACAGGUUGUUACGGUGGGACUACAUCGGCAAACGUCUCAUGGCAAGCUUCACAGUUGCAGGACAACGCUACUGCAGAUAGAGCACAUCAAAUUGGAAUGACAGACCACACAAGAUCGGCACAUGCGGCACAACAAGGACCUUCAAAUACAAUCAACAGCGGUGCGGGGACAUCUACUGCGGGGAGCUCUGAGCGCACGGAAGACGCGUUCCACCAGCCAGCCAACAAUCAUGCCACAAACAAUGCCGAGUCAGUGUCGGAAAUGGCAAUCGUUCCAACAAUGCCUACAAGCACACCUUUGAACACCAGCACAAGCAACACUCGAGUAGAUGAAACAGCCGCCGAUACUGAAGUGAAUGAUGAAACUGAUGACAAAGCACAAGGGGAUGAAGAUGGUGGGCAAUCAGAAAUCAUGGUACCUCAGCCACCGUACGUUGGACAGAGAUUUGAUUCGUUCGCAGAAGCAAAGGAAUUCUACAAGACCUAUGCAAAGUUCCAUGGGUUUGCGGUCAACACCAAAUACCAUAGGAAAAUUAAAAAAACUAACGAGUACAAUAGAGGUGAGAUGAGGUGCUAUAAGGUACGAAAGAACAAGAAGGGUAAAGGUGUUGCGCCUGUCGUUCCAGAACGAAAGAGAGGUAUCAUUCUCAAGACGGAAUGCCCUGUCCGGUGUAAGCUGAACAUAGAUGGAGCACGGUGGGUGGUCACUGAAUAUUUUGACGAGCACAACCACGAACUCACAAAGAAGUUCGACCUGGUAAAAUUUCUGACCGCCCAUAGAGGAUUCACCCCCCUCGAGAAGAAAUUCAUAAAGCUGCUACAUGAUUGUAACGUCAGUCCAUCAAGAAUGGUCCAGAUACUAUCCCUCAUCCACAGCAAAAAUGGGACUCUGAGUAGCAUGCCCUAUAUACCAGCUGAUGUCACAAACCUAAAGGCAAAGUACCAUAGAGAGAGCAAGUUGGCUGACAUAGAAGCUACGAUGGCCUACUUCGAUGAGAAAGCGAAGGAAGAUCCAGAUUUCUUCCACAUGAUAAGAUUGGACGAUGAGAACCGUGUCAGGAACAUGUAUUGGGUGGAUGGCAUGGAGGAGGUCUUUCCGUUGGCGGUGCACAGGCACUGCAGGUGGCACAUUAUAAAGAAGGCUGAGGAGACGCUAGGACCAUUCUUUGCAGACCGUCCAGAGCUGCACAAGGCAUUCGAGCUGUGUGUGGACCACAGCUUGACGGUGGAGGAGUUUGAAAGGAGCUGGAUGGGCAUGAUUGAAACAUAUCAAGUCCAAGACAACGAGGCGCUUGCUAGCCUGUGGGAGAAGCGAAUGUACUGGGUGUCGGCCUACUUCAUGUAG